UACGUAGGGUGCAAGCGUUGUCCGGAAUUAUUGGGCGUAAAGAGCUUGUAGGCGGUUUGUCGCGUCUGCUGUGAAAUUUCGGGGCUCAACCCCGAACUUGCAGUGGGUACGGGCAGACUAGAGUGUGGUAGGGGGAGACGUGGAAUUCCUGGUGUAGCGGUGAAAUGCGCAGAUAUCAGGAGGAACACCGAUGGCGAAGGCAGGUCUCUGGGCCACUACUGACGCUGAGAAGCGAAAGCAUGGGGAGCGAACAGG
rnacentral:rRNA from 1 species